AACGAACGCUGGCGGCAUGCCUAACACAUGCAAGUCGAACGAGAUCUUCGGGUCUAGUGGCGCACGGGUGCGUAACGCGUGGGAAUCUGCCCUUUGGUUCGGAAUAACAGUUGGAAACGACUGCUAAUACCGGAUGAUGACGAAAGUCCAAAGAUUUAUCGCCAGAGGAUGAGCCCGCGUAGGAUUAGCUAGUUGGUGUGGUAAAGGCGCACCAAGGCGACGAUCCGUAGCUGGUCUGAGAGGAUGAUCAGCCACACUGGGACUGAGACACGGCCGAGACUCCUACGGGAGGCAGCAGUGGGGAAUAUUGGACAAUGGGCGAAAGCCUGAUCCAGCAAUGCCGCGUGAGUGAUGAAGGCCUUAGGGUUGUAAAGCUCUUUUACCCGGGAUGAUAAUGACAGUACCGGGAGAAUAAGCUCCGGCUAACUCCGUGCCAGCAGCCGCGGUAA
rnacentral:rRNA from 1 species